UUCCGGUUGAUCCCGCCGGACCUGACUGCUAUCGGAUUGAUACUAAGCCAUGCGAGUCUUUGCAGUAAUGCAAGGCGGACUGCUCAGUAACACGUAGUCAACUUAACCUAUGGAUGGGUAUAACCUCGGGAAACUGAGAAUAAUUCCCAAUAGAUCAUUUAUCCUGGAAUGGUUGAUGAUUGAAAUGAUUCGUCGCCAUAGGAUGGGACUGCGGCCUAUCAGCUUGUUGGUGAGGUAAAGGCCCACCAAGGCUAUUACAGGUACGGGCUCUGAGAGGAGAAGCCCGGAGAUGGGUACUGAGACACGGACCCAGGCCCUAUGGGGCGCAGCAGGCGAGAAAACUUUGCAAUGUGCGAAAGCACGACAAGGUUAAUCCGAGUGAUUUCUGCUAAAGAAAUCUUUUGCCAGUUCUAAAAAUACUGGUGAAUAAGGGGUGGGCAAGUUCUGGUGUCAGCCGCCGCGGUAAAACCAGCACCUCAAGUUGUCAGGAGGAUUAUUGGGCCUAAAGCAUCCGUAGCCGGCUCUGUUAGUUUUCGGUUAAAUCCAUAUGCUCAACAUAUGGGCUGUCGGAAAUACUGCAGAGCUAGGGAAUGGGAGAGGUAGACGGUACUCGGUAGGAAGGGGUAAAAUCCUUUGAUCUAUCGAUGACCACCUGUGGCGAAGGCGGUCUACCAGAACAUGUUCGACGGUGAGGGAUGAAAGCUGGGGGAGCAAACCGGAUUAGAUACCCGGGUAGUCCCAGCUGUAAACGAUGCAGACUAGAUGAUGCAUUAGCAUAUAGCUAGUGCAGUGUCUCAGGGAAGCCGUUAAGUCUGCCGCCUGGGAAGUACGUACGCAAGUAUGAAACUUAAAGGAAUUGGCGGGGGAGCACCACAAGGGGUGAAGCCUGCGGUUCAAUUGGAUUCAACGCCGGG
rnacentral:rRNA from 1 species